UAAAACAAUAAAUUUGGUCUCAUACUUUGAAUAAUUCAUAAUACAACAACAACUUAUCAGGUCAAGGGUACAAAUUAUUUCUAGUGAAGUGCAGAACCCAUGGGUGAUUGACCUUACAAAUAUGAUAAUUCUGGUAACAAAAUUGCUUGUCUUUUCCAUAUGCGCCAAAAUGAUCCUUGAUAGAACACAUGGAUAUAGUUCAAAAAUGAACCGAGGAUCAGAAGCUUGCGGAUUGACCCGUUUCAAAUUUAGUAUGAACAUGAGUAAAAUAACUAUAAUAAUUUAUGACUGGACUGGAAAUGUGAUCUCCUCUGUGGAUCACACCUGCAAAAUAAUGAUAUAAUGUACUUGAAUCUAGGAAAAAACUUAUAUGUAAAAUUUUAGAUAAGACUAAUACCAAGCUGUGCAUGUCUAGUUGUCCUGCUGAGCUCCAUCUCAGCUGCAAUCUCUGGACCAACUCACUUCUUAGCGAUCAACAAUGAGCGCAGGCAAGUCACUAUGACAACACAGGAAUGUCUCACAACAGAUGCAUCCAAUAAUUCAAACCGGCAGUUAAGCAUCACUAUGUACAUUGUCGAUGAAGACCCUAAUACAGUGUUGCUGAUUCAGAAAAUAGAUAUGCAAAGCCGAUGCUACUAUUUUCAGGUAUAUACACAGUACCAAAUAGAGGUAGGUUCAUCAGUGAAUAUGUGAGUCCUUGAUUGCACUGUCAUCAAAAAAGCUGCUCAUUGCCCAUGUUUGUCUCCCAAUUAGCUACAAACAGACAAUAAGGUCAACUAAAAAUGCACAUUUUCAUUGAGUUAAAAGCAUAGCCUGCAAAAUGAAUCAGAUGCCAAGAUUUCACUAUUCUUUAGUGCAUUGAAGAUCAAUGGAAAACGCAAAUCAGCAAAGGCCUGCAAUCAAGGUAUUUCAUUCAAGUUUGUAGCAUUGUGAUCAGGUCUGCAGUUAUGGUAUUCCAUUCAGGUUUGUAGCAUUGAGAUCAUUGUCGUGUCUUGGUAACCAUCAUGAUGUACAGCCCCGGAGAUGUCAGCCGACAACACCAGCAUCCAUUGGAAAUCUGCAACUAUGUAUCAGCACCUUGUGCACGUGCAUGCCUGUAAGACAACUAACUCAUGGGCUUCUUACUUAAUGUUCCUAAUCGUUCUUCCUUGGACUUCAGUUUGGAAUAUUGACGGCCUAACAAAUCAAAAGCAUUUCAAUCCAUCUCAUCAAUCAGCUUAUGUGCUAGCUCAGAGCGCCCAACCUUUUCAGGUCACUGAUCAGUGGAUGGUGGAUAUAUAAAUCAAAGGCUGGUGUAACUUACACACACUUGGACUCCGGCAUCGCCUUCAGGUCAUGGUGGACACCGUCUGGUCCAGUCCGAUCCCUGACCAAGUCGUUGCUUGGAUUGGCAGGUGGGCUAUGUGAGCGAGUGAUGUGAGGAAGCGGACGACGUGUGCGAGUGCCAACGUGCCCGACAAAUUAACUGACAACUGAAACUUUGAUGAAACUGAUGAACUGAAUUUUCUGAAUCUGAUGAAACUAAAUCUGACGAAACUGAAAAUGUCGAAUCUAAGGGAACUUCAGGACAACAUAGGUGGCACCAUAGUGGCCUCGUUCAAAGGUUGCUGCAGCCUCAGAGGGAGCUGCACGAGGGAGGGGCAGCCGAGUUGGUCGUCAUCCCUUGUCGUGGAUCAUUGGAGCUGUGGGUCGCAGGUGGCGGAAGAGCAUAUCCGGGGCUGGGAGGAGUAGCCGCGGGUCGCCGCAUAUAGGGCGCGUCAAUCCUGUACGGGCAGCCAGCAUACCCAAUCAGGAUUAAGUCACGAACCCGCAAUCCUGAUGAAGUCAGAUCUCUCAAUAAUAGGCUCCCGGUGUGAUGCAAAUGCUAGCAGUAUGUGUACUUCUUAAAUUAAGUGACGCGAGUUCAUACAAUAAUUAGAAGGUUCAGUACACUUUUCUGUUUCAAAUUCUUUUUCUUGUGAUGCGGCCAAGAAAUUCUCCUAUAGUUGCAAAAAUCAUUAUUCAUAGUUUAAUAGUAAUAAUGUUCAGGCAGGCACACAUUUAUUGCUAAAUGUCCGUGCCAACUAUGACAUCAGAGGUCUCCCGUUGUAUCUGGAGUAGUGAAUCCGAAACUUUUUGUUCUACUGAACCUAUAUAAAUCUCAGAUUCUCAAUCCAAGAGCUUCUAACUCUUCUCCUCGACAUCAGUAACGCCCAUUUGUAUCUCAAUUAUGGUAUGGAGUGAAAUCUAGGGUAAAAUAGAAAUGAUUGAAUAGGCUCAGCAAUGCUUUUGCAAGUUUAAAACACAACUUUCAGUGAUGGGAGAAGAUCAAAAUUUCAUGUUACCUACAUGUUCAGUAAAACAUGAGUACAUUGCUUGCAAUACGGCCUAUAAGUAGGAUCAAGAUUUCAAGAUCGGCGUUUCUGCACAAGAGAGUUUCACCAACAGUAGCAAGUUACCUGGUGGGGUAUAACAACCACUGCUGCUCGCUGGAGUCCGACCGUAACAACAUAUUCAUAUGUAAAUAUAUAUUCAAUAAAUAUGUAAAGCCCAAAUCUGUAUUUUAUCAAUUUAUUGAAGCUAUAACUUUUAUAUUUUAGCACGACAUGAUUAAUAUAGAAAACUAUGUAGGUUUGCAGCAUGAUAGUUAUCAAAAUGACUUUGUAUAUAAACUACCAAUAAGAUAUUCCAAGUUGUUCCGAAAAUAACAGAGAAAUGUUACUACAUACCCAUACUCCUCAGGCAUAUUUUUCUGUCGUUAUUCAUACGUCAUUGCAUCACACACACACACACCAGAAUUGAUCGCAUCAAGUGUACUCCAUUACAU
rnacentral:lncRNA from 1 species